GAUGAACGCUGGCGGCGUGCCUAAUACAUGCAAGUCGAGCGAACAGACGAGGAGCUUGCUCCUCUGACGUUAGCGGCGGACGGGUGAGUAACACGUGGAUAACCUACCUAUAAGACUGGGAUAACUUCGGGAAACCGGAGCUAAUACCGGAUAAUAUAUUGAACCGCAUGGUUCAAUAGUGAAAGACGGUUUUGCUGUCACUUAUAGAUGGAUCCGCGCCGCAUUAGCUAGUUGGUAAGGUAACGGCUUACCAAGGCAACGAUGCGUAGCCGACCUGAGAGGGUGAUCGGCCACACUGGAACUGAGACACGGUCCAGACUCCUACGGGAGGCAGCAGUAGGGAAUCUUCCGCAAAGGGCGAAAGCCUGACGGAGCAACGCCGCGUGAAUGAUGAAGGUCUUCGGAUCGUAAAACUCUGUUAUUAGGGAAGAACAAAUGUGUAAGUAACUAUGCACGUCUUGACGGUACCUAAUCAGAAAGCCACGGCUAACUACGUG
rnacentral:rRNA from 1 species